rnacentral:lncRNA from 1 species
GCAUGCCUUCAUAUAUAUAUAAGCAGUUACAAAAAUCAGAUUAACAUCCCAUCAGUAGCAAUGUAGCAUUCUACAACCCAAUAGUAGUCAUUACAUUCAAUAUACGAAAUUUGAAAAGUUGUCAAAUUGUCUCGGCAUAAUGAUAAUCUCAUCUUUGCUUUUGGUCGGAGACUUGUAAAUUCAUCAAAUCAUCUAAACCCUGUCAAAGACAUAAUAAAUAAUGUUUAUAACUACUAAAAAUUCCACUAGAGAACUGAAAUUAAACAUAGUUUAGACCAUCUAAUAGAUCUAAAUUUCAACUUGCCAAUUUAAACGUUGCACUCAAUUCUAAAGCAAUGUUAUAAGAAAUACAUAAUCUUUCAUCUAUAGAUGAACAUGUAGCUGCAAAUUUAUGGACAAAAUAUCAAUGAUAAAAGUAGAGUAUAUACUUUCUAAUAUGUUAAGUCAUACAAAAAACUUACGUAGAACAAGUAGUAAGAUUGUAACAUCUACCAAGUCUAGGAAUAGAUAACAUGACUACAUGUUUUUAGAAUUAAAUAGACAUUAUAUGUAUGAAGAUUUUUUUAAAUUAAUGAUUGAUUGUUGUGUUAGUAGAUAAUGCACUUCACAAACAUGGUAUGUGAUUGAAAGUCCAAAUGUUGCUACAAUCAACGUAACUAUAAUAGAAAGAGAAGGGCUGGCACAACUUGAUAUUGCUUCCUCGAAUUUCAUCCAAGUCCACUUUGACUUUAAGGGAAAAGAAAAAGAUUUUCUAGAUAAGAAAAUAAACCUAAAGGCUCAAUUUAGGGGAAAAGCAGAUCUCGAACUUUUGGAGGUUUUCAUACAUUCCCUCAUGAAGCUUAGCCUCAUUGUACCAAAAUUCAUAGGUUCUUUAAUGAUUUCAUAGUAAUCUUCCACCAUAAUAGAAACAGAAGAUGUAAUUUAUUAAGAAUACCUGGCCUUCAAAAACCAAAGCCAAUCAUAAGACCAAUAGAACCUCAGCGCGAUCAACUGGUUCUGCAAAUAUUUAAUGGGUAUUCAUCCCUC